rnacentral:rRNA from 1 species
UACAGAGGGUGCGAGCGUUAAUCGGAAUUACUGGGCGUAAAGCGACCGCAGGCGGCCUGACAAGUCGGAUGUGAAAGCCCUGGGCUCAACUCAGGAAUUGCAUUCGAAACUGGUAGGCUCGAGUACGGGAGAGGGGGGUGGAAUUCCUGGUGUAGGGGUGAAAUUCGUUGAUAUCAGGAGGAACACCGGUGGCGAAGGCGGGUCUCUGGGCCGAUACUGACGCUGAGGAGCGAAAGCAUGGGGAGCGAACAGG